rnacentral:rRNA from 1 species
UAAGCGGAGGAAAAGAAACUAACAAGGAUUCCCCUAGUAACGGCGAGUGAAGCGGGAUGAGCUCAAAUUUGAAAGCUGGCGCCUUUGGUGUCCGCAUUGUAAUCUCGAGAAGUAGUAUCUGUGCUGGGCCAUGUACAAGUUCCUUGGAAUAGGACAUCAGAGAGGGUGAGAAUCCCGUACUUGACAUGGAUUCCUGUGCUUUGUGAUCUGCUCUCUAUGAGUCGAGUUGUUUGGGAAUGCAGCUCAAAAUGGGUGGUAAAUUCCAUCUAAAGCUAAAUAUUGGGGAGAGACCGAUAGCGAACAAGUACCGUGAGGGAAAGAUGAAAAGCACUUUGGAAAGAGAGUUAAACAGUACGUGAAAUUGUCAAAAGGGAAGCGCUUGAGGUUAGCUAUGCACGCAGUAUUCAGCCUUUCUUUUGGAGGGUGUACUUGCUGUGUUGCAGGCCAGCAUCGAUUUUGUCUGCUGGAGAAGGGUGGCAGGAAUGUGGCACCCUCGGGUGUGUUAUAGCCUGCUACUGGAUGCAGUGGAUGGGAUCGAGGACUGCAGUGUGCCGAAAGGCGGCU